ensembl:lncRNA
UGGGACAGCACUGAGAGAAAUGGGGAGCAGGAGAGCGGCCCAGGUGCUGCUGGGACUGCAGGGCACAGAGAGUGUGCCCCAAACCCCACAGGAGCAAGGCUGGGCACAGAUGGAAGGGGGAUUUUGCUGCAGUAUUGCACUCAGGAGCUGACACCCCCAGCUCUUUCCCCAUGCUGUGUGCUGGUCCCGCUUCGUGGCACUGCGGCAGGACUGGAGGAGGUAUCGCUGGGUGCAGGCAGAAUGCAGCACAGCACUGCUGCAAUGGGGCUGCAGGGCUGCCAGCGGUGACUCAUGGGCUGCACAGAGGGUGAAGGACAUCACUGCCCACUAUGGCAACGGCCGGCACAACAACCGGAGCGCAUCCCCAAUUAAAAGCUGACGGGGAGCUUCCUGUCGGCUAGCCAAGGACCUGGAGGCCAAAAGUUCAGAGACGAGCACAAGCCGCGGCUGCACGGCCGUGAAACGAGGAGCGCAGACCCGCCGAGCCCGGCUGGGCGGCAGGACGGAGCCCGGAGCUCCUCUCUGGCAGCUCCUGACUCUAAAGUUUGGGGUUUCUGCCCUGGGUUUCGGUCCCCUCCGCCUCCUCCCAUCCCCCCCGGCACCUCUCUGCUGGUGCGCAGGAACGCCGCACUGCGGGGCUUCUCCCCAUCCCUCCCGGGCAGCACCUCCGCCCGUCAUCUCCUCUACGGCCCUCAUCCGAAAGCGGUCGUUGUGGGGGACGCGGCCCGUUAAAAUCCCAAUGAAACUCCCGUAGAUUCCCCGCCCCAGCUGAGCACUACCAGGAAAACCCUACGUGGAGCAGCGAGGGAGAAUGGGAUCUCUGCACUGCACAGCCUCCCCUGCUGGCAUCCACACCGACCCUGCGAGGAGGCAGAGCACUGUACUGAAAAAAAAAACAACUGCUGCUGGUGUGGUGCCUGGGAGCUGCUGCCGUGUUCCCCAGGCUCAAUGCACAGUGCAUGCUGUGGCCGUGCAGGAACAGAAGAGGCGAAGCUGUGCACUGGCAGCACCGCAGCCCCGCCUGCAGUGACGCAUGUGGCAUGCAAGGACUUCUCAGCAGUGGUAGCUUCAGGCUUGUGGGAAAAGGGCACUGUUGCUAUUCUGCAUUGCAUUUGGAAGAAAAGCCAUCACCCAAAGUGGCAUUCAGCUCGGAGGGUUUCCUUUGGCCAGUGCAUAUGGACUUCAUGUUUGGGUGCUUUCUUGCCUUCUGUCUCCCAGCCAGUCUCUCCCUUUCCAGAUUUGCUGCUGGUGGCACACACAGGCCACUGCUCGUGGCUUCAGUGUGCAACGUAGGAACCCUUUUCUGUUCUCCCAGUGCAUGAGAUUGCAAGUUUUCCCCUAUGCUUCUUGCAGCAAAUGUGAAAUUUCCCUUCGGCUCCGGUGGCACUGUGAUGUGUGGACUAAAUUGAUUGGAUUUAAUUCUGUGCAAUGAGCCAGCACUAAGAGCUUUUCACUGCUCAGUCCCAAAAAGCUCCUGGCAAAAGGCAUCCAGCUGCUGGGUGCUGUGCCUCGGAAGGCUCCUGGUUCCAGGAUGGAAAGGGGGACAACAGAACACUGUUGACAGUAACGGCACAGAGACGGCUGUGCUCUCCGGUGCAGAGCAGCAGAGAGAUCAGUGGAGCUGGGGGGCACUGAAUCUAAAGCUGAUAAACCAGCCCCAUGGCAGCGAGCUCCAGCCUCCCUUCAUCUCCAGGAAGAGGGUCUGGUCCAAACAGGAAUGUGUAAUUUCAGUGCUGUAAUAAAUCUUAGCUCAAAGAAGGGCAAACCUGAG